GUCGAAAGCAACUCUGUCCUCACAACGAUAAGGACGAAUGUGAUGAUGACUGUCCAUAUAGACAUGGCCGCCUUUGCCAUCUGUGCCUUACACUUAGAUUAAAUCCAUAUAAUCCAGAAUUACAUGCUGAUGCUUGCUUAGAACAACAUGAGAAACAAAGUGAAGAAAUGGAAUGCAACAUUUGUAUGGAAAAAGUCACUGAGCUGGAAAUUCAUAGUCGCUUCGGUAUCCUAGAGAAUUGUAACCACUGUUUUUGUUUAAAUUGUUUAUUUGAAUGGAGGCAGAAUAAAACAAUGGCUAACCAUAGAGCUUGCCCAGUCUGUCGGAUUCACUCCAGAUUUGCAAUAGGCACCAAAUAUUGGAUCACAUGUUCACUAUCAAAAAAGAAGCUUAUUG